ACGCUGGCGGCGUGCCUAACACAUGCAAGUCGAACGAGAUGCGUAUUGGAAAGCUUCGGCCGGAAGGUACGUUAUCUAGUGGCGGACGGGUGAGUAACACGUGGGUAACCUGCCUUAUGGAGGGGGAUAACAGAGAGAAAUCACUGCUAAUACCGCAUAAGCACACAGUACCGCAUGGUACAGGGUGAAAAGAUUUAUCACCAUAAGAUGGACCCGCGUCUGAUUAGCCAGUUGGCAGGGUAAAAGCCUACCAAAGCAACGAUCAGUAGCCGAUCUGAGAGGAUGACCGGCCACAUUGGGACUGAGACACGGCCCAAACUCCUACGGGAGGCAGCAGUGGGGAAUAUUGCACAAUGGGGGAAACCCUGAUGCAGCGACGCCGCGUGAGUGAAGAAGUAUUUCGGUAUGUAAAGCUCUAUCAGCAGGGAAGAUAAUGACAGUACCUGACUAAGAAGCCCCGGCUAACUACGUGCCAGCAGCCGCGGUAAUACGUAGGGGGCAAGCGUUAUCCGGAUUUACUGGGUGUAAAGGGAGCGUAGACGGAAUGGCAAGUCUGAAGUGAAAUACCCGGGCUCAACCUGGGAACUGCUUUGGAAACUGUUGUUCUAGAGUGUUGGAGAGGUAAGUGGAAUUCCUGGUGUAGCGGUGAAAUGCGUAGAUAUCAGGAAGAACACCGGAGGCGAAGGCGGCUUACUGGACAAUAACUGACGUUGAGGCUCGAAAGCGUGGGGAUCAAACAGGAUUAGAUACCCUGGUAGUCCACGCUGUAAACGAUGAAUACUAGGUGUCGGGGUGCAAAGCAUCUCGGUGCCGUCGCUAACGCAAUAAGUAUUCCACCUGGGGAGUACGUUCGCAAGAAUGAAACUCAAAGGAAUUGACGGGGACCCGCACAAGCGGUGGAGCAUGUGGUUGAA
rnacentral:rRNA from 1 species